rnacentral:rRNA from 1 species
GCUUGAGUCAUCAGCUUGUGCUGAUUAUGUCCCUGCCCUUUGUACACACCGCCCGUCGCUCCUACCGAUUGAAUGAUCCGGUGAAUAAUUUGGGCUGUAGCAAUGCUCAGUUCUUGAACAAUGCAAUGGCAAAUUUAAUGAACCUUAUCACUUAGAGGAAGGAGAAGUCGUAACAAGGUUUCUGUAGGUGAACCUGCUGAAGGAUCAUGU